UGUCAGCACACAAUGCAACUUUAAUGAGCCCCACAAAGUGCCACACACGCACAGAAUAAUGGAAAAUGGACCUAUUGGACAUGGCCCUGACAUUCGAAUUUAUUAUGCAAAUUGUUUGCAGCCAUCGAGGAGUGAAAUACGUUAUGUAUUGGUAUUCAGUUUUAUCAAAUUCAAGAUGUAAUUUUUCCAAACUUCCCCAAAUCGUUUGAAGAAGUUACCCCUUCCGGAGCAGUCACCAGUUAUCCUUACACACCUAUGCUUCCUCGGUAUGUAGGCGAAACCCUUGCACUUUCCCACAAAAGAGGCCUUUAUGCCACAGAUGGCUAUAAAACAGGAAUGUUUGGGUCAAAAACGAUAUGGAGUAUCCAUAUUUCAUAAAACUUACGGUUUUGCGCGGUUAUCAAAGCACAUAAACAAAAUAAAAUUAGCGCCAUGUAGAUCGAUCUCAUUUUUAUAUAUUUAAUUCCGGUUUCUUUUUCCUGGCUUGAUGAUAUUAAUAUUCUGAAAUUGGUGUAACGAUAAUAAAAAUAAAAACAUUUGUAA